CAAGUUUUGCAAAACGUGUUCAAGCAAUGGGCAAAAACUGUACAGUAAGAACAUGGGCACUUCAAAUUCGUUUUAAUCACUUGUGUAUUAUAACUGGUAUGUUUUUUAUAUACUUUUCCAUGCGGCAGACACGACUGUCCUGGAAAAAAUGUCCUUUGGGACAAUAUAGUCUGUCUUAUAUCGUCUCCUCACCCUGCAUGCCCCUAGGGUGCUAUGAAUGGAUGUUGGCUUCACUGUGUGUGUGUGUGUGUGUGUGUGUGUGUGUGUGUGUGUGUGUGUGUGUGUGUGUGUGUGUGUGUGUGUGUGUGUGUGUGUGUGUGUGUGUGUGUGUGUGUGGUAGUAGUGUAUGUGGCUUAUGGUAUGGGGUAUCCAUUGCUCCGAGUUAUGAUUGGCCUGAAUGAUGAGUGAUGUCAUGGCUGGGUUCGAGAUGGGGGAUAUGAUAUUUUGACAUUUUAAUUCUCAGAGGACGUGAAAGUAUGAUAUCCAACCAAGUUAGAAACACACAUGCACGCACAAAAAUCCUUGCCUCGCAGAAUAUGUGUGCGUAUUAACACAGGCAAUUUGACCCAAGCAACUCGCACCCACCACCUACUUACCAAUGAUGUCAUUUUCAAUUCACACUGUGUGUGUGUUUGUGUGUGUGCGUGUGUCUGACAGUGUAAUCGGUGCGUGUGUGUGUGUGUGUGUGUGUGUGUGUGUGUGUGUUGAUUGUAAGGGGAUACCAAAAAGGAAAAGGAGGAUGUACUAACUUUUAUUUUUACAUAGCAUGGAUCAUUCUUUUUUCUCUCUCUUUUUCUCUCUCUCAAUCGCUCUCUCUGUCUCCCUUUAUUCUCCUCUCAUCCUCUCUCAUAUUCUUCAAUAUGAGGGAGUAACUUGAGUACAACUGGAAUACAUGAAGCAAGACCAGAUUGCAGGAUCUUGUCCUCACCUCCACCGCUGUUCUUUCUGCGGGCUGGUUCAAAGUAAAUCUUCAUGUUGCAAAUCUCCAGCAUGGCUACGAUCUUAACGUGCAGUGACAGGGACAUAUAAAAAAUUACUAGUAGUACAUUCACAAGAUACACACACAUGGACGCACAAAAAAACCACACACACGCAAACACACAUGCGCAUGUGCUCAUACACACACGCACACAGACUCCAACAUACCAUGCGCUUGCUGUCACGCACACACACACACACACACACACACACACACACACGCUUGUGCUCAGACUCACAAGCACACUCACGCUGAUGCGUUUUCUGUCACACACAUACACACACACAAACACACGCACACACAUAUACACAGACACAUAUAUAGACACACAAACGCACCAGAACAGUGUGAAGCUGGUCAGUGUCUUGAGAGUUGUGUGAGAACAGGAGCGGUCCUACAGACACAGAGAGUCCCAAAGCAAAUCUUCACACGAUGAGCCUGGCUCUGAUCCACGACAAGGACCACAUCAAGAACUUCUGGGAGAAGAAGAUAGUGGCCGUUGGGGAGCACUGCGAGACCGAGGAGAUGAGGAAGUCGAAGAGUGCGUUGAGAAAACUGCGGGGCGAGUGGCUGGUGCGUCUGGAGAACAGAAACAAACAUCUGAAGAGCCUCAACGACGAGUACAGCCGCAAAGCCAAGAUGGCCGCGCCGGAGAAGGAGCAGGAGGAGCAGACGUAGGGAACCAUUCUACCGCCUCCUUCAGACUACACUGAUGGCUCCAACAAUAUCACUAUUCGACCACCAUCUCCAGCAUUUCCCUUGUUGUAGUUUAGUAUGUAGAGCGGGACACUGAGAUGUUUGGAGGUUCCCAUGCAUGCAAAAGGGGGAUAGAAGGUUAGGCUUGUAUUUUCUGUGUAGUUGAAUGGCUGCAUACUGAGGGAUUAUAGAGUUUGUUUGAUCAUUGGGAAUAGGGCUAAUCACUGGUCAUUAAAUCAGUAACACUGUUCUUUGUGUGAAGUAAGAUAACCUGUGAAUGUAUCUUCAAAGCUGAAGCAGAUUCUGGUCCUAUAUGUCUGUUUGAAGAAUAAAUGCCCUAUUUUUUCCCGUCAUUUAUAUUUUAACUGUUAAUAUGCGUGGAAACAAUUUAACCCAGCUUGGUUAACUUGUGUUUCAUAAUCAGUUUACUAAAAGCAUAGGCCUUCAGUCACUAAACUUUUUGAAGAGCGGUAGCCCUUGCCUUUGACGCACACGACUCUUCUAGUAAAAGGUCUGCAGACUCUGAAGAUCAGAUCAGAACUCGGG
ensembl:lncRNA